rnacentral:rRNA from 1 species
CGGCGCCUUAGGAUGGGUCUGCGGCCUAUCAGGUAGUAGUGGGUGUAGCGGGUACCUACUAGCCUACGACGGGUACGGGUUGAAAGCAAGAGCCCGGAGAUGGAUUCUGAGACGGACGAAUCCAGGCCCUACGGGGUGCAGCAGGCGCGAAAACUUUACAAUGCCGGCAACGGCGAAGGGGACCUCGAGUGCCAGGUUACAAAUCUGGCUGUCGUGAUGCCUAAAAAGCAUUGCAUAGCAAGGGCCGGGCAAGACCUUGGUGCCAGCCGCCGCGGUAACACCGGCGGCUCGAGUGGUAACCGUUAUUAUUGGGUCUAAAGGGUCUGAAUAGCCGGCCGGAUAAGUCUCUUGGGAAAUCCAGCAGCUUAACUGUUGGGCUUUCAGGAGAUACUGUCUGGCUCGAGGCCGGGAGAGGUGAGAGGUA